rnacentral:lncRNA from 10 species
GUGCCUCCAACCAAGUCAGUUGGGCCAGGGAAAUACCGUCCUGACCUGGGCCACCUCCUGGGGACUGGCUCUUGUGUUGAUGGAGCUACUGCCACCCUGAGCCUGGGGAUGGGGUUCCCAAUGAGGAGCAAAGUUGGCAUGUGUCUUGGUGUCAGCAUUUGAGGGUGAAAUCACACCAAGCCUGACAUAGGCACCCCUGGGCAUUUUGGCUUUUGGGAGCCAUGACAUUCCCCUUUUGUGUUAGCCAGUUUUGGCUGGGUUUUCUGUCAUUUGUAACCAAGAGAGUCCUCAGUGAUACACGUCACCACCAACAAUACUCCAUGUGGUCAAAUCAGCUUUUUCAAUAGGUUUUUAUUGAAAUGGUUAUAUUAGCAAAUUCUGCACAUACGGGUGUACACUGUUGGCAUAUAGGUAUAUACCAUACAAUUUCACUACUUGAUUAUACUUACACCAACCAUGCAGACCAAGGAGCUGUGCUGCCCAGAACAUUUCAAAGGGUUGAUGAGAUCUGAUUGUCAAGAACCAGCUCACACUCUACUUGUAGGUGUUUGUGUUCCAGACAAGAAAACUCCCCCGACAGGGAGGCCCGAAACUGAGCUAAUCGUCAGUUUUGCUUCUUGAAUAUUGACUGUUCUUUCUGGCACAAGCUAUCCAAUGAAUUAAAUUAAAAUUUUAAUUAAAAUUCAAGUGCAUAGUUUCCUUUUCAUCCCUCAAGGUGGAAGAUAAAUCAUUUGCCACAUUUAGGUAUAUCCCAAGCCUCCCCACCCCCACAUUACCUGUGCUAUAGUUAGAAAAAUAGUUUUGUACGCCAUCUUCUGAGAUGUUGUGCAUAGUGAGCAGGAACCUAGAGUACGGUGGGCUCUUUCAAUGACCCAAAUAUGAAAGGGGCAACUUUAAUAUUUUAUGAGUAUAAAAGCUACGGAGGGUCCAAAACAACUGUGACAUAUGUGGCCUAGGGCUUGCACCAGCUCCUCCUCCUGUACAGGAACAGGAUGCUUCCAUCAGGUGAGAAUGUUCUCCAUACCUCAAAUCUCAUUUCCUAGCUUGGAGCCUUUUCCUGUUUUUGUAAUCACACGGGACAAGUUUUCUUUUUAGACAGAGUUAUUGCCUCUCUGCAGCAGAUCUGGUCCCAAGCCCCAGUCAGGAGAUCCCCUCCUGCAGCUGGCUCAGCAAGCCAGGCCCAGGCUGUCUGGAGAACGCCUGGAGACAGCACCCUCUCUGCUUCUCUCCAGGAUGGCAUGUGUCAUCUCAGGCUGGGCACUCAGCAGAGGUGCCAGGACCUGGACCUGGGCCACACCUACUGGCCCAGUCCACAGAGCACAGCCAGCAAUCCGCAGCCUUUCUGCUGAAGGAGCGCUUACUCGCCUGAAGGAAGAGAAAUGGCCAGGACGGUAUAUUCUACCUAACCACCUCACCCCACCGUUUCUUUACAAACAUCUUGGUUCAGUACCUCCCAGUCAUUGGAGAAGUCCUUUAAUAUCACAUAGUGUAAAUAUACUUGCACUUAAUUGGAGAUAAAGGCUGUUCCAAAAGCAAAUUUGAAUUCACUCUGUGUUGGGUUGAAUUUGUAAACCACAGCUCAGAACCAGUCUGUGACGCUCCGCAGAUGUCGGUGGCUAUAGAGAGAGGUGGCUAGGGAAGGCGAUGAUCCGCGGAUGGGUGGGGAACUGAGGAGGCCAAGUCAGCUUUGCCAGGCCACCAUGUGCCGCCAGGAGCUGGGCAGCCUGAGGAGAGCAAAGAUGGGCCGGGAGCCUCCACCUCAACUGACAGGAGACUGCUCACCACAUGCCCUCCGAGUUCCCACAGGAGAAUGCACGUGCGCUGGGCAAGGUGCCACCCUCGGCUCGGGACGGCAGCCUUGGCGUCUGGCUACGGGCGCCGCUUUCACAGGGGUGGCUGGGCCGCCUAGAGCUUUUGUGGUACAGAGAGGAGGGGCCAACAGGAGGAACUCCACAGCCCAGGCGGAGGUCUGAGCAGGCCAGCAGCACCGAAUCCUUCUGAAAGCUUGAAACUCAAGUUGCAGGACGUUCAAAGGUGCUUUUUUUUUUUUCUUUUCCAUAAAGGAUCUUCCUUCUUCCCCAAGUUAGAGUGAAGAAAACAGGAAAAAAAUACCUUCAGCUUAGGGUGGAAAAGGAAGGAAAACCCAAGAUGAGUGCAGGUGACGACCGGGCGGCGGGAGACCCUCUCAGCCUCUCUUCUUCCAAGCUCAGUUUCUUGAGAUCUUCCAGGAUACCCACAAAAAAGAGGGUGAACCUUUAACAAUGCCCCAGAGGAGCUUCGUGGCUACAGGGGGCCUCCUGACCCCCAACCCAGCCCUCUCAGCCAGGCCUCAGGAGGCUAGUGUGACCUCAAAACUCAGAGCCCCCGUGAGACACAGGGCCAGCCAGUCCCAUGCCUUGCAAAGGGGAACGUUCCUCCCAGGUGUGGAUUUGGGGGCUCACGCUUUGCUUUCCCUGUAGUUGCCUCGGACAGUAAGGAAAGGAAUUCCAAGGAGCAGACAUAGGCACCUUGUCCCCACCUGCCUUCUUCCGGUGUUUUUUUCUGAUGCUACAAUACUUCAAACACACAGGGCUUCUCCCAGUCCUUCUGCAAGGCUCUUAACCAUAGCCCAGGGAGCUGUGUGAAUAUUACAAUCAACAGCCUUUCCUAAUGGGCUGAAAGGAGGGUGUGUCGAAGCUUUGGAAUGCUUUACCAACAAGGCCAAAAUACAAGACAAAACUCCACGCCCCUCAUAUGUAACAACUGCCCUAACCAGACCUGGGAGGGGAAGGUGCCUAUUUUAAGCUGUGGGUAUCGCCCUGCGAUGAGUCCUUACUCAUCUUCCCACACUCCCUGACAGUGUGAGCCAAUGUUGACUUUAGUCACAUUAAACUCUGCUUCCGGGUGACACUGAACACACGAGAGGAAGUGAGAGCUAGUUGGACAGCCUUUCUUGAAGAAGGAAAUCAUACUCAAUUGCUUUUCUAAAUCCAUUGCCUUCAGUAGCUCCUUCUGUCCACACUUUAAAUGUCAGUGUCCCCAGGGCUUUAUCCCAAGCCCCAUCCUCAUGUCACUGGGUGGUCCCAGCCCCACUCUGGCUUCCACCUCCAUCUGAACUCAGGGACACCUCUCCUGGCCAGCUCCCCUUGGGAGAUUCUGCCUCCAGCGCAUGGGAGGGUAUGCAUGCCUGUGGGGGUGUUUUGGGGGAGGGAGGAGGAAGGAGGAGAUUUGGGUGACAUAGAUAUUGUGAUUACAUGGAGAUACUUCAGCAGGACAAGAUGGUAUGUCCACUUAAAAACACAGCUUCUGACCGGGCGUGGUGGCUCAUACCUGUAAUCCCAGCACUUUGAGACACUAAGGCGGGAGGGUCACUGGAGCCCAGGAGUUUGAGGCUAGCCUGGGCAACAUGGAGAAGCUCUGUCUCUAAAAAAAAUUUUUAAAAAUUACCUGGGUGUAGUGGCAUGCGUGUGUAGUCCCAGUUACUCGGGAGGCAGAGGUGGGAGGAUUGCUUUAGCGCUGGAAGUUGAGGCUGCAGUGAGCCAAGAUUACACCACUGCACUCCAGUCUGGGCAACAGAGUGAGACCCUGUCUCUAAAUAAAAUUAAAAAACAGGCUGGUGCGGCUCACACCUGUAAUUCCAGCACUUGGGAGGACGAGGCAGGUGGAUCAUUUGAGGUCAGGAGUUUGAGACCAGCCUGGCCAACGUGGUGAAACCUCGUUUCUACUAAAAAUACAAAAAAUUAGCUGGGCGUGGUGGCAUGCAUCUGUAAAUCCAGCUACUCGGGAGGCUGAGGCAGGAGAAUCACUUGAUCCUGGGAGGCGGAGCUUGCAGUGAGCCGAGACGGCGCUACUGCACUCCAGUCUGGGCGACAGAGUGACACCCUGUCUCGAAAUAAAACAAACAAACAAACAAAAAACCCACAGCUUCGCAGGCAUUCUGAUGCAGGGGUCUGCAGCCUGGCCACCUUACCCCCACUGCACCUCCACCUGGGCACCAGGUUCGCACCUCCAUGCCUCUCCUUCCAGAGCCCCUGCCAGCCCAGACCCAAAGUAUCCCCACAGGACUCUCCCUGGGUCCCAUCAACACCCGCCCAGGAACCAGGCCUGGAAGCCCAGGCUGGUGCCGUGCCUAGCCUCCCUGACCCCCAGUGCGGUUCCUUUUCUUUCCAAACAGAGACAGGAGUCUGGUCUCCCUGGCAAGCCUUCCCUGCCCAGGAAGUGCUGCCCUCGCCUCCUGGCCACUGUCCCCGCCUUGUCUUGACUGUUCCCUUGGGCCUCUCUAUGGCUGCAAUGCCUCUCCUCCACCUGUGCCCUGGAAGUCCCUCCUCAUCCAGAUUCACCCUCUUAUCAUUCGCUCUCACACCCCAGUUGCUUGAUAACGUGCCCAUGAACAGCCAACAUCUUAAUGGUCACAGAUUCACCCCAACUUCAAGCAUGUGUUUGGCACAGAGUGAGAGCUUAAUAAAAGUUUGCUGGCGAUAUUAACUGUAGAAUCCCACUUCUCUAAAAUCAGUGUUUUUGUUUCAUGACAUUUAUGAGCAGCAACCACUUGUCAAGGAGCCACACUGUCACUUGCCAGUGGUUAAUGUCAACCACCGACAUUAACGUCACCUCGUUUUCCUAUAGCAGAGCCAAUGCCUCAAUAAUAAAGGUUAACGGCGAGAGAACACUUUGAGUUUUCUUCAGUUAAAACUAGCUUCAGCCGGGCGUGCGUGGCAUGAGCCUGUGGUCCCAGCUACUGGGGAGGCUGAGGCGAGGUCAAGGCUGCAGCGAGCCAUGACUGUGCCACUGCACUCCUGCCUGGGUGACAGAGCGAGAUCCUGCCUCUAAAAAAAUAAAAAUAUAAAAUACCAAUUUGAUUUAGCGUGUAGCUCGAACGGAUUGGAUGUGAGGGUAAUAAAAACAUGAGAAGAGCUUAUAAAGCCAAUAGAAAAUGUCAAGCUUGUAAAAUUCAGUAAUCUCGUUUUUAAAAAUACUUUUCCAAAUAUCAUCAGACUCACUGGCAGCUGGGGCUGUUGCCGCAUCAGGGAAGCCGGCAGGUGCCAGACCUCAGUGCUCAAGGCAGUGCCUCGUGAAUGUGCCUCGCAGCCAGGCCUGAGGACCACCAGGGGAGCUGGGGCCUCUCUGCAAAAGCAAGGCUCAUCAGGGUUGUGAGGAGUUUUUAGCUGGGGGCAGAGCUUGUCUUCCCAAGAGGAGGGCAGAGGCAGGCAGCCCUGGGCAGACAUGCUUACCACCAUCAGUGGCUGCCAAGCUCUGCCUCCUGCGCUGGAAGCCCUGGCUAUCUGGCCUUCCCUCCCCUCCCUCUGGAUUAACAGGAAAGAGGGGUUACUCCUCCCUUAGGAUGUUAAAAGUCACCAAAGCUUGGCCAGGCGUGGUGGCUCAUGCCUGUAAUCCCAGCACUUUGGGAGGCCAAGGCAGGCGGAUCACGAGGUCAGGAGAUCGAGACCAGCCUGGCUAACACAGUAAAACCCCAUCUCUACUAAAAAUACAAAAAAUUAGCUGGGCGUCGUGGCAGGUGCCUGUAGUCCCAGCUGCUCGGGAGGCUGAGGCAGGAGGAUGGUGUGAACCCGGGAGGCGGAAGUUGCAGUGAGCCAAGAUCGCGCCACUGCACUCCAGCCUGGGUGACAGAGCAAGACUCCGUCUCAAAAAAAAAAAAAAUCACCAAAGCGGAAGCAUUUGCAUUUCAAUAGUCACAACCAACUCCCAGAGGAUGCUGAUGGCUGCCCUGGCCCUAGACUUGCUGAUCCUGCCACACAGGCCCAUGGUCUCCUCACCCGGGCACAGGCCCAGCUCACAGCAGUCCACUGGAGGCAGGGGGGUGGAUGUGUGGUGUAAAUAGCUGACUCCUCAGCCUCUUCCUUACUUCAAACAGUUCCCCCCUCAACAAUGACUGAGGUUAUCAUACAUUUCCUAAUAACCGCUGCUGGUGGCAAGACUUGCAACCACGGAGGCACUCACUCUCUGCACCCCAUCACACCUGCAGCAGGCGGAACACUGCUCCCCAAGCGCCUCAGGGAAGCGCUGCCCAUGUGGCGACGUGUGUCUUCACAAUGCUCACCGGACAAGCAGCCCCGGCCACUUCCUGCCAGGGUCCCGACUUAGCAGGGAUUUCCCCCAGCAUAGCAGCUAGUAAAGAGGCUGUUAUUUGGGAUUAAAAAAAAAAUGCCAUUCUUGGCUGGGCAUGGUGGCUCACAACUGGAAUCCCGGAACUUUGGGAGGCCGAGGUGGGGGUGGAUUGCUUGAGCCCAGGAAUUCAAGACCAGCCUGGGCAACAUGGCAAAGUCCCAUAUCUCUACAGAAAAUCCAAAAAUUAGCUGGGUGUGGUGGCACGUGCCUGUGGUGCCAGCUACUCGGUGGGCUGAGGUGGGAGGAUCACUUGAGCCCAGGAGGUGGAGGCUGCAGUGAGCCAAGGUUGCGCCACUGCCCUUCAGCCUGGGUGACAGAGUGAGACUGUCUCAAAACAAAAAUAAAAAUAAAAACCUGAAACCAAAAACCAAAUCAUCCUCUCUGUUCCUGAAGAGCAUGGCCUUAAUGAGAAGUUAGUGUCCCUCCUGACAAAGACAGGCCAUUCUGUAGCUGAGCCAGAGAGUGACCCCAAUUUUCCAGAAAAGGGUGUCAAGCCAGGAUCCACAGCACUGUUCUGAGUACGCUCCCCUGCAAGCAAUGCCUCCUUGUUAUUCUACCGUGAAUGUGUGCCCCAGAUUUCCCAGAAAUUCAAAUGUUAUAUUAAUAGACAGAUUCUAGGGGCCUGAAAUUUGUACUUCUUCUCACGUAAUUUCAUACCUUUUCAGUAAAGAAACUGUCUUGAGUGGAAUUUAACGUAUACACAUUGGUAAGACCUCAAAUCAGGAGAAAAUGCUACAUCAGGAUCUGCGUUUUGGUUUGGGAAAACAAGGAGGUGGUAUAGACAACACGGCAAUGAUCCGAACUGAGCUCUCCUACCUUUCAGGUGGGUCAAACACAUACAAAUGCAGACGCGUGUCUGGAACCUCCAGCAAAUGGGCUCCAGCUUCCUGCAGACUCACCCUCUCUCUGAGAGCCCAAUGGGGAAACCUGCUUUUCUGAACGAUGCUAUAUUGAAGCUGCUCAUUGAAAAUAUUUUUAUAGUACGAAGACUAUCAUAAAGAAAAACAAAACAAAAAAACCCCCAAAGCCCUUGGUAAAAGGUAAAACACAAAAGCUGCUAAGACCUUUAAAAUCUGCACCAUUCUAGCCUCAAAUGAGCGAAAACGAAAUGCCGCUGCCCGCUCUCUGACAAUGCUCCUGAAGCCUGUCCCCAUCCGGGGCUCUGCAGGUUUCCUUCAGGCACACCUGUG